CCAUGCAGACCCCACCCGAUCUCCCAGGGCCAGAUCUCCAAGUCCCCAUGGAGUCAUGGCUGAAAUUAGGAGCCGCUGAGACUGAUGGUGUCCCCUGAGCGACAUCUGACCACGCUUCCCCCCCCUUCCCAGGGCUCAGUCCGUCACGCAUUUGGAAAAGGCUGUGUGCUUCACGACUGUUUCCGUAACUGAGGUGUAUCCAUGGAAGACUGAUAAACCUGACUGCAUACGGAGCAACACGCGAAUCACACUGGUCACCAAGCAAAGCACGCCAUCAUUUUAUUUUGGGAGAAGGAAGUGAGGCUAAGCGGGUCUGAAGCUCACACACCCACCGUGGAGUCGCCGUGCCCAUGGGCAGCAGGGCUGGACCUCAGCCUCCGCUCACACAGGUGGGCUCCAGCCCUCAGCCUCCCCUCACACAGGUUCGGACAAACGCCAAAAUGAGAAAAGACCUGCGUUUAAACGAGUUUUGCAGGAGGAGAGGCCGUGACGCUGGGGUGGAGGAGGUGCCGCGAGUUGAGUUGUGACAGUCUGUCCGGGUUCCUUCCGUGGCGGAAAUCAAAUCUGCCCUGAAUUUGCUCCUUCUAUCCUCUCUCUUGGAAUUUCAAAGGAGGACUGGAAAAACAGCAAUUACUCAAGAUUUUAAACGGUAAUGCCGUGAGUCCUUGCAGGAUGGCAGGGUCUUUUCCUUCCUGAGGGGGGAAUGUGUGACAUCCUUGGAGAAAGGCUGUCUUACUCAUGGUGUUUUGCAAACCUGGUAAUGUGUUGAAGGCAGCGGCGGCUUCAGGAGGGAGAGUUUCCCAACACGGUGGUCACUUUUGGCCUCGCUUUCUGGGACUCAGAGAGAGUCUCAAAUCAGAGAAUCCAUGCUGGGGGAAGGCAGGGGUCGUGAGUUCCUCUACUUAGAAUGAGCUGAAGGCCCUUGUCAGGACUGGUCCAUCCAGGAAGCUUCUUUGGGGAAACCAAGCAGAAAGGAGGCCUCAGAAAACUGCCCCUGGAUAUUUACGCAGCCUGUAAUAUCAACCCCCCACCCCAGCCUCCUUUUUAUGGUCCUCUCCGUGCUUACAUACCAACUACAAUGCCUAGGUCAGGACCAAGACACAGGAGAAGUAACAGCAGCGACAGGCACAGGAGUGACGCCACCUGGCCAAGUGUGAGUUUGCUGCCAGGCCCGGCGAAUGCACACACAGCCGAACACAUGUGAGCCUGCCUGGCUCAUCC
rnacentral:lncRNA from 13 species